rnacentral:tRNA from 1 species
GGGAAGGUUGCUCAGUGGUAGAGCGCUUGCCUUGCAUGCAUGAGGCCCUGGGUUCGA